GACGUAGGGCGCGAGCGUUUGUCCGGAUUUAUUGGGCGUAAAAGAGCUUGUAGGCGGUCUGUCGCGUCUGCUGUGAAAAUCUCAAGGCUCAACCUUGAGCUUGCAGUGGGGUACGGGCAGACUAGAGUGUGGUAGGGGGAGACUGGAAUUCCUGGUGUAGCGGUGAAAUGCGCAGAUAUCAGGAGGAACACCGAUGGCGAAGGCAGGUCUCUGGGCCACUACUGACGCUGGAGAAGCGAAAGCAUGGGGGAGCGAACAGG
rnacentral:rRNA from 1 species